CUGUUGAAAGCUUUUGGUAAAUCCGGAGCUGAGCUGAUCCACGACAGUACUCGGAAGCCGCAAGGCUGAAGAGAUAAUGACCGGUAACUGACUCCCGAGAAAAGCUUCUAGGCUUCAGAUUUAUACAGCCCGUACCGUAAACCGACACAGGUAGUCGAGGAGAGUAUCCUAAGGCGCUCGAGUGAUCCGCGGCUAAGGAACUAGGCAAUUUAGUCUCGUAACUUCGGAAUAAGAGACCCCUGCAAUUAUGUGGGGCGCAGCGAAGAGGUCCAGGCAACUGUUUAACAAAAACACAGGACUCUGCUAAAUCGAAAGAUGAUGUAUAGGGUCUGACACCUGCCCGGUGCUGGAAGGUUAAGGGAGGGGAUUAGGAGCAAUCCAAAGUCUUUGACUGAAGCCCCAGUAAACGGCGGCCGUAACAAUAACGGUCCUAAGGUAGCGAAAUUCCUUGUCGGGUAAGUUCCGACCUGCACGAAUGGUGUAAUGAUCUGGACGCUGUCUCAGCCGCGAGCUCGGUGAAAUUGAAGUAUCGGUGAAGAUACCGGUUACCCGCAACGGGACGGAAAGACCCUGUGAACCUUUACUAUAACUUCACAUGGUGCUUGAAUACGGGAUGUGUAGGAUAGGUGGGAGACUUUGAAGUCUAUACGCUAGUAUAGGUGGAGUCACUGUUGAAAUACCACCCUUUCUGUAUUUAGGUUCUAACUCCGAUCUAAUCGGAGGACAGUGUGUGGCGGGUAGUUUGACUGGGGUGGUCGCCUCCUAAAAAGUAACGGAGGCUUGCAAAGGUGCCCUCAGCAUGGACGGUAAUCAUGCGUAGAGCGUAUUAGUAGAAGGGUGCUUGACUGAGAGGCCGACAGGCCGAACAGGGUGGAAACACGGCUAAAGUGAUCCGGUGGCACUGCAUGGGUGGGCCAUCGCUCAAAGGAUAAAAGGUACUCCGGGGAUAACAGGCUGAUCUCCCCCAAGAGCUCAUAUCGACGGGGAGGUUUGGCACCUCGAUGUCGGCUCAUCGCAUCCUGGGGCUGGAGAAGGUCCCAAGGGUUUGGCUGUUCGCCAAUUAAAGCGGUACGUGAGCUGGGUUCAGAACGUCGCAAGACAGUUCGGUCCCUAUCUGUUGUGGGCGCACGAAUAUUGAAAGGAUAUGACUCUAGUACGAGAGGACCGAGUUGGACGAACCUCUAGUGUACCAGUUGUGGCGCCAGCUGCAUCGCUGGGUAGCUAUGUUCGGUUUGGAUAAGCGCUGAAAGCAUCUAAGCGCGAAACCGGCCUUAAGAUGAGUAUUCGAUGAAGGGCUGUAGUAGAUUACUACGU
rnacentral:rRNA from 1 species